GGCGAACGCUGGCGGCGUGCUUAACACAUGCAAGUCGAACGGAAAGGCCCUGCCUUUGUGGGGUGCUCGAGUGGCGAACGGGUGAGUAACACGUGAGUAACCUGCCCUUGACUUUGGGAUAACUUCAGGAAACUGGGGCUAAUACCGGAUAGGAGCUCCUGCUGCAUGGUGGGGGUUGGAAAGUUUCGGCGGUUGGGGAUGGACUCGCGGCUUAUCAGCUUGUUGGUGGGGUAGUGGCUUACCAAGGCUUUGACGGGUAGCCGGCCUGAGAGGGUGACCGGCCACAUUGGGACUGAGAUACGGCCCAGACUCCUACGGGAGGCAGCAGUGGGGAAUAUUGCACAAUGGGCGGAAGCCUGAUGCAGCAACGCCGCGUGCGGGAUGACGGCCUUCGGGUUGUAAACCGCUUUCGCCUGUGACGAAGCGUGAGUGACGGUAAUGGGUAAAGAAGCACCGGCUAACUACGUG
rnacentral:rRNA from 1 species